AAUCACAGUAACUUUAUAUGAUUGUCUUUUAAAAGAAACAUCAAAGAUAACAGGUGUAAAUCAUGAAAAUGGCAUCUGUGUGUGCGUAGACAGCUGUUUGCAUGGAGAGUGUGUACCCACACUCCAAGCACAGACUACAGGCAUGGGGAGUGUCUGUCUACACUUGGAGCAGAGCAUACAUGCUAUCAAACACACAAUAAAGGCCAUCAUGCCCAGGCCCUGGGUCUAUAAGCCACUGAAAGCCUCUCACUCCUCAGUGGGGUCUGAUGUCCAAUACCUUAGAGACAUCUGCAGACUGUGCUGCCAGAACAUGAAGAGCCAUGAGAGUCUCCCCCGGGAACUCUGUAGUCUUGCUGGAAAUGCAAGAGGAAAGCCCAGCCUCUAGGCCAACGUGUAGCAUAGUUCAUACAAGUAUCACUGACACACAAACAUGUUGAAGACAACAUGGCAGGGCCUGGCAGAGAUGUAACUUGGCCAAAGGUGGAGUGGCUGGGACAAAUGAACAAUCAUGGCUGUGGUAGCUCCCUAAAGCCUGGAUUUCUGCCCCCUCUAUUAUGGGGUCUCUGAAGAAGACAAACGGAUGGACUCCUAGAGCAUCCUGUUGAUUAGCUUGCUGUUCAGAUGUGGGAUGUGGUCACAGUGCUCUGACAAGGCCACAAGAACAUCCAUGGGAGUGGAAACUAGCCUAGGUGUGUCCUACUGUGCCCAGGGAUCUGCACUCUGGCUUAUGGUGUGGAGGCCCAGGGUGCAAUGGGGUCAAGGUGUGGCAUAAGGAGGAGCCCACGCAGCAUAGCAUGUGAGUCCUUGAACUCACUGCAUUUAAGUCCUGGGGUGAGUCUCAUGUGGUCAAACUCUGCAUGACUCAGGUGGCUGACAUCUUACCUGCUGUGAUUGACAUCACCGGCUUUUACAAUGUGGGUGUAGCCUUAAGAGCCAUGUUAUAUACUUGUCAACUGGAAAACAGAACUUGUGUUUCACUUAGGAUGGAUGUGUGUCCUUCCAAAGUGUGAGUGUACCAUACUUUUGUUUUCUUCCCUCCCUCUCCACUUCCAAAGUCUGGAAGGCCUCCUUGAUGUGGGCUCUAGACCGCCAACGCUCACUGCAAUGAUCACUUGGGUUUGCCAUGAAUGAACUUCUGUACUGGGAACUGACCUGGCACAGGGCUAGGCUUCCCUUCCUUGCUGACCGAGCAGAAACCUGUGACAAUCAAGUGACACCUGAAAGAGUUCCUGUGCACCAAGUUGGGGUGCAGUUCUCUGAGUUGCAUGCCUCUGUGGAUGAGUCCCACAAACGCCAAGGCACUGGUGACAGGCCUGGAAAAGGACAGCAUAAGUCACAGGAGACCCCAGGUUGAUCUGGCAAGGGAUAAGCACUCUUUGCUAUGAUUAACCUUAUCUUGCUCAUGGACAGACAAUUCUCAUGUGAACCAAGUGUGCUAAGUUUAAGAAAAUGGGCUGGGGCUGGAGAGCAGGCUCAGUGGUUCAGAGCCUGGCUGCACUUUCAAAGGUCCUGAGUUUGAUUCCAGUCACCAUAUUAUGGAUACUAACUAACUAUAAUCAGAUCUGAUGCCCUCUUUGGACACACAGAUGUACAUGCAGAUAGACCACUCAAAUAAUUGAAUCUUAAAAGAAAGGAACAAAGGAAUGAAAGAAGGAAGAAAAGAAAGUUAAAGAAUGAAAGAAAGGAAGGAAAGUAUGAAAGAACGAACGAAAGAAAGAACGAAAAAUCAAGAAAGGCAGAGAGAGAGAAAGAGAGAGAGAGAGAGAGAGACAGAGAGAGAGAGAAAGGAAGGAAGAACGAAAGAAAGAGAGAGAUAGAAAGGAGAAGAAAAGAAAGGAGGAAGCAAGCAAGCUGGUCAGCUGUAGAGAAAUGGGCCUGUAAUACCAGACAAUCAAGACACACAGUAGGAAGGGGGAUCAGAAGUUCAAGGCUAGCCUGGUCUACAGCAUGAGUUCAAGGUCACCAUGGACAACUUAGUCACACCCUUUUUCUAAAGGUGAGGAGGGCUAAGGCUACUAACUCAGUGGUAGAGCACUCGUGGGGAAAGCAGACUGCUGUCCAUUGAUACCUCUCCUUCCUUGCUCUGAAAUACACAAUGGUAUUAGAAGAGUCAAAGGUUCUUGGCCUAGUAUCCACUAUUCUAUUUGCUACAUCGUUAAGGGUGCAGUUUUUGGUAUUUUGGUCAGGGAUCAAAUCUAUGAAAUAAAACUUAAGCAAUACUCUUAUUGCUGUCAGAGUGGCAGGUGGAUGAUAAAUGCUUGCCCACCUGCAUCAGUACAAAGCUGGUUCCUUGGACUCCCUGCAAACACAUCACUGCUAACUGUAUGCCCUGUGUAGGCUUUUCCAGCACUGUACAUAGCUUGAAAACCUUCCCUGCUAUGGACCCUUGAGUGGGCAUCCUGCCUCUCUCAGUCUCAGAAUGGAGCACCUGGUCACCUCUAGGCUCACAGGUCAGGGACCUCUUCCAUCCCAUGGUGAACAAGACUGGCACGGCUGCACACACCUUGAAAAAAGAAUAUAUUGGCAACCCUUAACGAAAAAGAUGGUUCUUACUUUCCAUUAUGGCAUUCUAUAAAAUACGGGUAUUUCCUGGUACAAUUACACAUGUCAUUGAUUGUGUGUGUGCGUAUGUUUUUGGAGGUUGGAGGGGGAUAAUUCAUUUCUCUAAGCCCCUUCCUCAAUGCGAGGCGAAAAACAUUGACUCUCAUACAGACUUUUAAUAAUUACACAGUUAUUUAUAUAUUUUUAAGAUUUGUUAAUUUUUCCAACUUUUUUUAGCGCUCUCUCUCUCUCUCUCUCUCUCUCUCUCUCUCUCUCUGUGUGUGUGUGUGUGGGUAUGUGUGUGUAAUUAGAUAUAAUACUCAGGGUCAGUACAUCCUAGACUUGAGCUACCCUAUAACUUUUUAUGUUUUAAACAGCUUUAUUAUGAUAUCGUUGACAUAUAAAGCUGAUAUGUGCUAGAGGUGAGCAUAUUGAUGUUCUUAAAGACAUGUUCUUUCUCAGAUACAGAACGCGAGCUGGCUAAAAUCCUUGCUGCUCUUGCAGAUUAACCUUGUCAUGCACUGAAGCAAUGGGGCACAUACUAAGCACACUCCCUGAGAUGCCUCCUAGGUCGGUAGCACUGGCUCCAUCCCAGGCACAGCUGGAGUGGGCAGCUGUAAGGUUGAGGACCUGCAUUUAGGACACUGGGCCCCAGGAGCACCUUACCUGCAGGUCAUCCUUUGUACCUCUGAAUGUCACUCCUGGGUUCUCACUGCCUGGCACUUAACCAUAGACACCACUGUAGAACUGUCUAAGGCCAGAAGGGCAAAAACAUUGUUGUUAUAAAUUUCUACUAUGUAAACGUCAAAUGUUGAGCUUCUUGAACAGUAUUCUGAAAUGAACCUGGGAGAAACACAAGAAAUAUGGUCUGAAGUCUCUUCUGGAACUGCCACUCCAGCAUAUUCUUCCACAGGCAGUCACUCUCCUCUGCACUACCGUCCCCCUUGUUUUGCAGCUCAUGGAUCUCCUUGCUUAGCAUAUCCACAAGGUGCAUUUGCUGUUGCUUCUCCAGCUUCUCCCUGGCAUCUUGUUUCCAUGGGUCUGGAGACAGACUCCCCAGAGGACAACUCCUCUUUACUGAUAGUUAUGAACUGCAGAUCCCUGUGCUCAAUAGUGGGGGGCUGCUGCGGGGACUACAACACCAGAAUGACUGUUUCUUGGGGCCUCUGCAGUGUGGAAGGUUUUCCUGGUUUGGUCGGUGUGGUCAAAGAAGAGAAGGAAGCAGGUUCAGGGAAUGAGAGUGCAUCUGUCACCCAUUCCUCUCCUGCUCCCUGUGCUUCCUCUCUGCUUCCUUGUCCAGGCAGGCCUUCUAUAUCUCAGACCACCGCUGCUGCUCCUCACUCUCUUUUGCUAGCCAGCAGCCACCUGAACAGACUGGGAUCCUGCCUUGUUUGCAGAAGGUGGUGGGAGGGGCAAAUCCACUAAAAUGCCGCCAAAAUCUGGUGUAGUGGACCUGUGGUAGAGGAGGUGGUGGAGGGAGGUCUGUUCAUAUGGGCUGGGAGACAGUAACAGUGGUGGCCAGCACCUCUGCUGGGGUUUCCCAAUGGCCAGGACCACUCUUAGUCAGAGUGGAAGCAGGGGUAACUGACUUGGAGGAAGGGUUCAGGUGCUCCUGUCUGGAUGUCAUAGAUUCCAAUGAGGAGCUCUGGAUCCACAUAUUACUGUCACACUAGAGACCCUUGCCAGCCUCUACUCAAUGGAGCUCAAGUAGGUAAAACUCUUCCUGAAGUUCUUCCUUGGAAGUGGUAAGAGGCUGAGAAAAGAAAAGAGGAAGCUCUACUACUUCAGGGACUCACCAGAGAUGUUAGCAAAAUUUCAUGCAUGUUUCUUCCUCACAGAGGAGGUAACAAAAACUGGGGAAUGGGUGAAUAACCAGACCUGACACUGCUUUAUGGCUCACCCGCCAAGUAGCCAGCUGUUCCUGUGUCUAUGAAGGAAUAAAAAGAUUUUUCUAUACACUGAUGCAUGCUGUUUGUGGCACUGUCACUCCUGCAAUUUAGCUCCUAACCAGGUCUAGGUUGAGGGGUCUGCUCUUGUGAAAUGUAAAGAAAUAAACAAUCAGAUGCUUAAACCUGCAUAAAAGGCGUACUUUUUCCUCAGGGAUCUGUUUUACAAUCUUUUAAAAAGCAUUCAAGGGGGUUGAAACCCCGAAAGGAGCUUUGCCAUUUCAGGAAAGGGCGAUGGAGGGAAGAUUUGUAUGGUGGGUUACUGGGAAGACAGGAAGGGCUAAUAUUGGAUUAUAAAGGAAAUAAAUAAAUGGUUUUCUAAAAAGCAUGUAUUUUAAAUGCUGUGCUAAAAAUGUAAUGUUGAC
ensembl:lncRNA